AUUGAACGCUGGCGGCAGGCUUAACACAUGCAAGUCGAACGGUAGCAGGAGAAAGCUUGCUUUCUUGCUGACGAGUGGCGGACGGGUGAGUAAUGCUUGGGAAUCUGGCUUAUGGAGGGGGAUAACUACGGGAAACUGUAGCUAAUACCGCGUAGUAUCGAGAGAUGAAAGUGCGGGACCGUAAGGCCGCAUGCCAUGAGAUGAGCCCAAGUGGGAUUAGGUAGUUGGUGGGGUAAAGGCCUACCAAGCCUGCGAUCUCUAGCUGGUCUGAGAGGAUGGCCAGCCACACUGGAACUGAGACACGGUCCAGACUCCUACGGGAGGCAGCAGUGGGGAAUAUUGCGCAAUGGGGGGAACCCUGACGCAGCCAUGCCGCGUGAAUGAAGAAGGCCUUCGGGUUGUAAAGUUCUUUCGGUAUUGAGGAAGGAGUGUAUGUUAAUAGCAUACAUUAUUGACGUAAAUACAGAGA
rnacentral:rRNA from 1 species